CUGAUGCUAUUAUAAAUACUGGCAAAAAAAAACUUGAGGGGAAGAAAGGGUUCAUUUUAUCUCAUUGCUUAUGGUUCACCACUGAAGAAAGUCAGAGUAGGGACUCAAAGAAGAAUCCUGGAGGCUGGAACUGAAGCAGGAUCAUGGAUGAACAUUGUUACUGCUCAAGUCUUUCUUAUCUAACCCAGAACCAUGAGGCAUGGCCACUGGCCAACUUGAUGGAAGCAAUUCCUCAACUGAAGCUUCCCACCCUCACCCCGUGCCCCUGAGACCAUUUUUACCAUUGAACAUCACGAUUAUUUUGAAACCUACGACGGAAAAACAGAACCAAACUUAGAAUGGGAGCAUUAUUUCCAAAACCAAGG